UACGUAGGGUGUAAGCGUUGUCCGGAAUUAUUGGGCGUAAAGAGCUUGUAGGCGGUUUGUCGCGUCUGCUGUGAAAUUUCGGGGCUCAACCCCGAACUUGCAGUGGGUACGGGCAGACUAGAGUGUGGUAGGGGAGACUGGAAUUCCUGGUGUAGCGGUGAAAUGCGCAGAUAUCAGGAGGAACACCGAUGGCGAAGGCAGGUCUCUGGGCCACUACUGACGCUGAGAAGCGAAAGCAUGGGGAGCGAACAGG
rnacentral:rRNA from 1 species